CGCUGAUAAGAUGCCGGGUCCUGCUCCGAUGGCCUCGGGAGAGGGAAGCGCUGUGCUGUGAAGCUAUGGAAACGGGCAGGCCGGGUGCGGAGCGGUAAUUGGGCCACUCGCAUCACCGCAGGUAGUUCCUCCCCUUUCCAGGAUGAUGAGAACAGCAGUGGGAGAUUUGUCCUUGAGGAGUGAAGGAUUCAGAGGGGCCUAAAGCAAACAUGCAGUACCUGUGAGGAGGUGAUGGAGAAGACAGCCAGGCUCUUCAGAGCAGUGUGUGGUGAGAGGAAGAGAGACAACAGGUAUGAGGAAAACUGUACUGUCUCCAUCCUCUGAGGUUUUCAAGCCCUACUGGACAAUGAGAUCUUGCAGCUGCCCUUGCUUGGAGCAGAAAGUUGAACUGGAGACCUCCUGAGGUCCCUUCUGACCUGAGAAAUUCUGCCACUUUAUGUUGAGGUCAACGUUCCAGGACUGCUCCUCCUCCUCACACAAUGAACUCCAAAGCAGUUUUGGGGUUCCUGAAGGCUGGAAGAAUGUGGCUGUGCCAUGUCUAAGACCAUGGAUCACCAUGCACUGGCUUAAUAAUCAAUAAUUAAUGUCUGGGGUUUGCAAGCAGUUAAUUAAUCUCCUGGUGAAUCCUGAAAAUAUGUUUAAGAGAAAUGUAGGUGUUUUCCAUCCAGGUGAGCAUAG